rnacentral:tRNA from 1 species
GUCUCCGUAGCGCAGUGGAUAGCGCCCUGGACUUCUAAUCAAGAGGUCGCGGCUUCGAAUCCCGCCGGGGAUG